rnacentral:lncRNA from 1 species
CUUUAUUCCGUCCAUGACAAUGCAGAGCUUGCACGGCCACCUCCCACCCAUCCCCUCCCCUGCACAAGGCCACCUGCUCCAAUCUCCUUUCUUAACAGCUCUUGGCUGCUACAGACGCAGGCAGGGACCUUUGAUUGUGUGGAAGCUUCUUGUUGAGAAAUUUCUGAAGCUUGCUUAGCCACUAAGGAGUCAGUUGAAAAUGUCUCUCUAAAGACUAAAGAAGACGUGAGACCCCUGCUUUGAGAACUCUGGAGUAAAGGAACCUGGCCUGGUAUCAGGAGAGGUGGAUGGAGUUCUGACUGCUGCUCACCAGCCGUGCAAUCCUGAGCAAGUUAUCCUAACACAGCCACGGAUUCCGACUCAGCGGCCCGCUAGCAUGGUAGCCCCAGGGCGGCCAGGGUUUGUCUGUUUGUCCUUUGCUGUAAUUCCCAGCGCCGACAACAGUAACUGGUACAUGGUGGUCUUGCUGAAUAAGUGAACAAGUGCCUACCUAGCACAUUGUACCAAGGAUCAUACGAUAUUAACGUAUUUAACAUUUUUUAACUAAAAAGUAUUAGAAAAAUGUUAUUCAGUGCAUCUGUGCCUUGUAAAUGUGGCAUAAAAGUGACACAUAGAUAAGUCUAAAUAUGUGUAAUACAGAGCUUUCUUUUUCCCAGUCCCCACACAAAAAUCUUAAUUCCUCUACCAUGUUCCCCACACAAGAAAAGGCAAAAAAAACAAAAAAAAAAAACAAAACAAAACCAAGUACUUCAAUAAAAAGGUGGGACGCUUCAAGCGAGAGACAACUGAAUUAACUUUAUUCUCUUCUAACUGCAGAUUCAAGGUAUACAACUGAACAUUGCUAUUUUUCUUAUGAGACUUAUAAAUAAAAAUACAAAAAAUGUUCACUACAAAAAAAUCUACUGUUAGUAGGAUGUAAAAAAUAUUCUCUUUGCUAUAGAAGGCACAAACUUCACUUAGUGACACAUGGAGAGAGAAAAAAACCUGCAGCAGUAAAUUCAUUUUUUCUUUUUUUUUCCUUUUUUUUUUUUUUUAAAUCUUGUCAGAAACACUGAAAUUACAAAGAAACGCGUCAAUCUACACGAAACGAAGGCAGAUGCGGAAAGCUGCAACCAGGACUGCACAACUUCGAGUGAAACUGCUUCGGAACUAGAACAGAUAAGGAGCGGCAAGCACAACUCGGGGAAGUGGGCUGGGGAGGGGGCAGCAGGAGGCAGGAGAGAGGGAGAGAGAAUGGAGUGGACAGAAAUGAGACGGGGAGCCAGAGGGAGGAGGGGAGGGCGGGAGAGGGAGAUGGAGAGGGCAAGGGUGAGAGGUGGGGAGGAGAGAAAGAGAGAAAGAGAUUGAUUUGUACAAAAAAGUAACCAGUAAAAUUGAAGAAACAAAAUUGGGCAACCUCCUAAAAUUAGGCUAAGAGGAGGUGCUGAGGUAGACAUUAACUAGAACAUUGAUGAAUUAAAAACACUAUUCUGUAAUACAGAGCAAUCCGACUGGCACUUGUGCUAUCACGACAUAAGACAAGCCACAAAAACAAACAAAUAACAAAACGAAACAUAAUACCCAAACCAAAAGGCUUAGUUUUGCUUGGUCCAGCAGGGCAGCAGGGCCCUCAGUGCUAUAAUUUACAUACAUAUAUAUAUAUAUUUAUCUUUAUAUAUACGGGUUGGAUGUCAUGGUGCACCACCACGGCUUCUUAACCUUACGAAGAUCAUGCAUAACACUAUGUGAACAAAUCCUAUGAUACACACCAGGAGGCUGGUACCCUGUCUGCGAAGUUGGAUGCCAAGGGCCCGGGGAGGCCGCAGCUGCUGGCUAACCGGCCUGCAGGGCCUGCACCCCUCUUUCUCCCCACCCUUUUCCCCUGACCCAACCUCUCUGGUUUGUCCUGCACCCCUCUCCUGGCCAUCUCUGCCUUUUUCCUCUCCCCAUCUGUCCCACCGCGUAGGGUGAGUCUCGCCUUUCAUCCUCCCACUGAAAUAUCCAGGUAAGUGCCACCAUUACAGCCAAGCCGGCAGAGGCUCCAGGAAGGAGGAGGUAUGAUGGGAGGGGGAAAGAUGACCACAGGAUGGGCCUAGGAAAAGUGAAUGAACAGAGUCUCAUCUUCUGCUUUUCUGUCUCACAUCCUGGUGCGCCCCCAGUUUUCACCCUAGCUCGGCUUGCCGGGAAGCAGGCCCAGAAACUACCCUGACCCUGCCAGCCGUCAUGGACAGAGUCGAAAGGCUGCCCCACCUCUGCUCUCUCCCCUAUAGGGAGGUUAAGGGUGAAAGUCACUCCAGCCUGACUCCCCAACCUUCAAAGAAA